AUCCAAUAAAAAAAGAAAGUCUGAAAGAAUUCUGCAUUAAAACUAUCUGGCCCUGGGCUUUUUGUUACUGAUGUUGGGAGAUUCUAAAUGACUGCUUCUAUUUCCCUAGGAGUUAUAAAUCUAUUUAAAUUGUCUAUCUGAUCUUGAGUUAACAUUUUGUAAGUGAUAUCUAUCAAGAAAAUCAUCUAUUUCAUUUAAAAUUUCUAAUUUUGUGGAGUACAGGCUUUGGAAGUAAGAUCUAAUCAUUUUUAAAUUUCCUCAGUUUCUUUUGUGUCUCCCUUUUUAUUUCUGGUUUUGUUUAUUUGAAUACUGUCUCUCUACCUUUUAUUUUGGUUGGAUUAUGUUUUGUCUACCUUGUUGAUUUUUUCAAACAAAACAAAACAAAACAAAACAAAAACAGAAACAAAAAGUAGCCUGCUUGCCUUGGAGUUUCCUUUUAGUAUUUUCUAUAGGGUAGAAUUUAUGAGUAGAUAUUGUUUAAAUUUGGUUUUGUCAUGGUAUAUCUGGUUUUCUCCAACUAUUGUGAUUCAAAUUUGCUAGGUAUGGUAGUCUGAGCUGAAAUUUGUGGUCUCUUAGAGUCUACAAGGCAUCUGUCCUGGCCCUUCUGACUCUCAGAGACUCUGCUGAGAAGUUGAAUGUAAUUCUGAUAGGUCUGCAUUUAUGUGCUACUUGGUCUUUUUCCCUGAACCCUUUAAUAUUUUUUUCUUUAUUCUGUACAUUUGGUACUUAUAUUAUUAUAUGGCUGGAAGAAUUUCUUUUCAUGUCCAAUCUUUCUGAUGUUCUGUAAACUUGUGUGUUUGUCUUUCUUAGGUUGGGAAAAUUUUCUUCUAUGAUUUUCUUGAGUCUGGGGCUUGUAGCUGGGACUCUUCUAGUUCUUCUAUUCUUAUUGUUCAUAGAGUUGGUCUUUUUACAGUGUCCCAGAUUUCUUGGGUGUCUUGUGCUGUGAACUGUUUAAAUUUAGGAUUUUCUUUGUUAUAUCAAUUUCUUCAAUUGUAACUUCUAUGCCUGAGACUCUCUCUUCCAUCUCUUGUCUUCUGUUCAUGAUGCUUGCGUCUGCAGUUCCUGUUCUCUUCUCUAGGUUUUCAGUCUCCAGUAUGUCCUCAGUUUGUGUUUUCAUUAUUGUUUUUAUUUCCAUUUUCAGUUCUUGAACAGUUUUCUUCCUUUCCUUCACCUGUUUGAUUGUGUUUUCCUGCAGUUCUUCAUUCAUUUCCUCUUUAAAGGCCUCUAUCAUCUUUGUAAGAUUGGAUUAAGCUUGUCUUCUUGUGCUUCUGCUUUGUUAGGAUAUCCAAGGGUGGCUGUAGCAGGAUAGCUGUGCUCUGGUGCCUCAUAUUGCCCUGUCUCUUGUUGAUUGUGUUCUUACACUGUCCUUUAGCCAUCUGGAUGUUCCUGAUGCCAGCAGGACAUCUCAUGGAGGCAGGCAAAAGAUCUCAGGAAACAACAUACUUCUGCUCAUCUCUGCUGGUUAUACCCCAGGUAGACUGGGCAGGCAGGGAAUUUGAUUUGAUGAUUUUGAUUGAAGGAACAAUAGUUAUUCUGAGGAUCUCACCUUAAAUUUUACAUAACUUUUAUCUCUUGAUGUAUUCAUCAUAUUUUUUGUUCUGUAUGUUUAGUUUUUCUUAGUAAUUAUAUAGUAUGAUGUGUUUAUUUCCUGGCCCUUCCAUGAUUUUUUGGCAAUAGCUCUUUUAUCUUUAAGAACAUCUCUUUGCUGAUAUUUAGAAAUAUUUCUUUUGUCUUUAUUAGAGAGAUUUAUACAGAUUUAACACUAAUUUAUUUUUUCUUUUCUGACUAUAAUUCAUGUUACAUUUUUCCUCUGUAUAAUGUCCAAAAGUUCUUAUGUAUUUUAUUUACACAAUUAUGCAUAUGAGUUGAAAGAAAAGGAAAGUCAGAGAUAAACAAGCACAUCACGAAUCGUGAUUAGUAUUAGGUUACUAGAUGGGACCCCAAAAAAGUGGGUAUAAACAAGUGGCAAAAGAAAGAUGGAGUGUUUUCUCAUAGGUGCAAGAGAGGGACUCUGAACUGAUAUGAAGAGGAGCACUUCUAAAGCUUCAUUCUUUGCAAGUAGAAAUCACUACCCCUAGUUUUAUUUUCCUUUUGAAUAACAAAUGUUAAUGAUAACUCAGAAUCUAUCGUGAGAUGCUUUGAACUUGGAAAUGUUCCAAACACAGAGUUUGUAAUUUUUGAAUUGUAUUUAGUAUUGUUGCUCAUGUGUAAACUGUAGUUUCUCUGUGUGUGGCUAUAGGUUUUGCUGUUGAUAAUAUGAAUGUAAGUAAUAUGGUUUAUGUCUUUGGAGUAUUCUCAAUCAAACAGAAAAGCUAUAAAACAUUUUAAGUAUCACAUGUUCUGAUGAUAUGUCUAUGGUCUAAUAUAGACUCCAAGAAAGAAAUUAAACUUAAAGAAGCAGUUAUGCAUAUAUAUCCUACAGAAUAUGAUUCUUAAAGGAAACAUUUGCUUGAAGAGUUGAGAUGAAUUUAUGCCAUAAAGAAACAGUAGGAAAUGAGUCUGGAAAGAAACUCAAGGAGGACAUCUAGACACAAACUUAAGUGGGGCCAGUGUGCAGGAUUUAUAUAUAUGACCCUUUUAUAAGUACUAGGAAGCACUGAGAGAUUUUAAGGAAAGAGGUAUCCUAUGUCUGUGUUCCUCUUUCUCCAUCAUUUUGCCAGCAUUUGCUGUCAGUUGUUUUGUUGAUCCUAGCCAUUAUUACUGAGGAAAGAUAAAAUUAGAUGUUGUUGGGGUUGGGGAUUUAGCUCAGUGGUAGAGUGCUUGCCUAGCAAGCGCAAGGCCCUGGGUUCGGUCCCCAGCUCCUAAAAAAAAGAAAAGAAAAAAAAGAUGUUGUUGUCAUUUGCAUUUCCCUAAUUGCUAAGAUGAUGAACACUUUUGAGGUAUUCCUUAAUAAUUUUAUUUCUUCUACUGAAAAAAAACUCUCCAUUUUGACCCACACCAUUUGUUUUAAUUGAGUCAUUUGUUACCUUGACUCUCUCUCUUUUUUUUUGUUUUGUUUUUUUGUUUUGUUUUGUUUUUUGUUUUGUUUUUUUUUUGUUUCUUAUAUUCUGGAUUUUAAUCCUCUGUCAGAUGAAUAUAUGGAAAAAUUCUCUUCCACUCUAUGGGUUCCCUCUUCACUACACUGAUUGUUUCUUCAUAAUGAUUUUGUUAAUGAGAUUCUAGUUGUCAAUUGUUUGCCUUAAUUCCUGGAAAAUGGAGUCCUGUUUAGAAAUUAGUUUCCUACACCUAAAUCUUGUAGGGUACAGUCAAUAUUUUCUUUCAAUCAGUUUUGCAUUUCAAUAUUCAAAUUGAGACCUUUGAUACAGUUGGAUCUAAUUUUGUGUAGGAUGAUUGCUAUAUAUUUUCUUUCUUUUCCUUCCUUCCUUCCUUCCUUCCUUCCUUCCUUCCUUCAUUCAUUCCUUCUCUCUCCCUCCUUCUGUCCCUCCCUUCCUUCCUUUUGUAUAUUUUUAUACCAAACAGGAAAUAUGAACAGCCACAUACUCACCAUCUCUGUUCCUCAUGAGUCUCAAGAAAGAGGUUCUAGGAACCUAUAUAGAUUUUGUGCACAUAGGGAGAGAACUUGCAGCACAACGGGAAGAUCCUCAGGGGGCAUGUAGGACGGCUGUCUAGACAGUAACAAACUUGUUCUUCAUAGCUGCUCACUUUAAGUAUAACCCUGGAAAAUGGUCAUUAUAAACGAGAGGUAAUUUAUGUUAUACUUAACAGACCUAGCGAGCUGUCCAGAAAACUGGAUAUCCAAGUAGGACUAUCUCCAAAUAAUACACAUCCUGACCUGAAUAUUUUAAAAACUGUAUCUUUAAUGAUUUGAAAGGAGUGAAACAGACCAAAAAUUUACACUGCUUUAGUGCCUGUUUUGUCUGAAAUUUUGCUUUCUUAGCUGUGCCCUUUGCUACUAUUCCUUACUACUCUGUGGAUGGCUCUCAUCUGAGCACACCAGUGCUUUUGUUUUUGAAUUUCUGAUUUUCUGGGGAUGUGUUUAACUUGUAUUAACAGGAAGGGUAUUUUAGCAGACUGGUUUCCUGCUUCGUGUAAAGAGGGAAGCAGACGGCUUCUCUCCUGGCUGUUGGAAACAGGAAUGCUGAGAUAAGCGUUAGCAUUGCAUCUCCCUCUUGCUGUAUGACAAAUUUCUUUCUACUCAAGAGCCCUUGGUCCUGUUUUCUCAUUUGAUCUAACACUCUGAACAGGUGUUAUGUGUAUGUGGUCAUAGGUGAAUUUUAAUGGUAUUUCAAGGCAUUCUAUAUAAAAAUCCAAGUAAUUUCAUGGAUUGCUUUUGUCAAAUAAUAAAAUUAUUUGACAUAAGUCUUAUUGAAAACAGAUGUGGAAUAUGCAAUUCUUACAAUUUUAAAUAUCCUUCCCUGGGGUCCUUUUGACUCAUGCCAACCUGAAAUCUGAAGUAGAAAGUUUCAGCAUCCUUUUUUUUUCCAGGUGUGUUGCCUUUAAUAUACCGGAAAACUUUGUGGCAAGGAACUCUGAGCUUUAACUAAACCUGUUACCAGAAAGAUUCAACCAUCACACUGCUAAUUAAUCAGGAAAGCUUUGUACUUGAGCCAGCCUGCCAUUUGCUAGAGCUUCAACACAUCAGUGGCUGGAGCCAUGGUUUGUAGAUAAAUGUUCCCCGAGAAUUUGGCUGUCAGAACAAUGUACUUCUUUUCUGAACUCCUUUGACACCUGAGUCAAGUGACUGUAGGGAACCAGAACAGGUCUCUGGCUUUUACCAGUCCUUUGAAGUUCAGUGGUCUGAUGGCCACCAUGAUGAGCUGGCUGGUGUGUAUCCAUCAUCAUUGGAAGUCUAUCAACACCCUCAUGUCUCAUCAUCGAGGACUGAGUUAAUGAAGCAAUUCUGCCGACCAGGCUGCCUUCAUUUUCUUCUUUGCUAAAUUGGGUUCCUCCCAGCCCAGAAAAAUUGGAAAGGUCCCCUCCUUCAGGAAUCCCUUACUAUGUCAAUCCUUUUGACCAAAAAUGUUAAUACUUUUAUAUUAUUUGAACUUCACCUAUCAGUUCAUUCUGUUCUCUUUUUAAUUAAACAUUUUUUACAGACUCAAAGAAAGAUGAUAAGGUUACUCAUUGUUUCAUGUUUCAUGGUCAUGAUAUCUGGAGUUAGGGACAUGUAUUGUAAAGUCCUAUGAUCGUGGUGUCUGGAGUAAAGGGUAGAUAAAUAAAGAAGCUGCAGUUUCUUCCUCACAAGGCUACAGGUGUGGAAUGCUGCAGUUUGGCCUGUCGGAGACUUGAAAUCAGAAUUGCUGAGAUUUUCCACAUGAAAUCACCAAGAGAUUGGAUCCAGUAACAUUCCUUUAUGGAGACUAAGGGGAAGGUCGAAAGACAGCAACUGAGACUGCUCUUGAGGUGCCUCAGAAGGUGACAAGGCCUAUCGUUGAAGCUGUUAUUGUGUGACAUUUUGGUGGUAUAGCUGCCCAUAAAAUUCUCAUUCUCAUGUAGACAAUCCCUUAUUCCUCUUUCUGAAAAUAAACCCAAUUAAUUCCAUUGGUUCACGAGGUUCUAUAUCUUAAAUUGAUUAAUUAUUUGGUCUGUCAUUAGUGUAGUAUCUGGGAUAAAGAGAUGUUUGUUUAUAAUUUCACAGGAAAAAUUAAUACAAUAGUUAAAUAACUCAUUAAGAUAUGAUACAUUAAUAGGUUCAAUAAAUAGUCAUUGGUAUCUGAGGGGUCUGCAGCUCUCUACCACCCAAGGGGACCACUACUGGUAGACAUUGAUGUGUGGACAUAGGAGACAUAUGGACUCCAUGCCAUUGGAGUUUUAGAAGAGUAGAAUGUGGGAGUAGUUUAAAGAUGGAUGGUCCUGAAGCACUGGUUGUUCAAACUGGACUUUUGGAAUAAAACAAGUUGCAGAUUUGAAUAGGGUACCUUCCACUGUGACAUAUACAUUUUUUUAAUAAGUAAUAUCAUUGGCACUUAUUAGAGACAUUGUAAAAAGACAUUAUUUGUUCCAGUUUUUUUGAAGUCCCAGUGGAGAAAAGUUGUUACUGUUCACACACCAUUGCUUGCUUUGCAAAGAUAGAUAGUCUCCACACAGAACUUUGAACUGAUUUCCACAGAAACAUUUUAUAUGCAAGUGAUUCAGAAGAAAAACAGCUUUAUAACUUUGCAGAAAGGAGUGAGAAGAACUUCAUAGAGGAAAUACCAUUACAGUUUGACUUUAGAAUUAAAUAUUUGAGGAGGAAAUAAAGGAGAUACAGGCCACCCACCAUAAGCCAAAUGGUUGCUAGAAAUGUGACCUGGAACACUCUUACACGUCUUUCUUGGUGUUCUUGCAUGAACUCUAGGUAUCUGUUAGACAUUUCCACUAAAAACAAUACAUUUCUUAGGAAAGGAACAGCCGUUUUAUGAUCCCCAUUGAGAAUCCAAUAGAAAUAAAAUCUGUUGUUAAUCUGGGGCCCAUAAAGAAACAGUUCUAUAAACUGAGAGAUUGAUUGACACAGCCCACAAUUGCCCAUCCCCUAUCAUGAAUUAAACAGGAGUAAGUGGAAUAGCGUGAAGCCUUCUUUACUAGGUAGCUCAUUUGUGAAACUUUUAUACUUUUGUCCCCAAAGAGUACAGUAUAUGGAACAGAAAUUACAAAAUUAUGA